AUUUUCCCCUGUCUACUCCUCCACCUGUUGCAGCCUAAGACAGAAUCACAGCUGCCUUUAUUCCACUGGGGACAAACUUUCUUUGCAGGCUCAAUCUGCUGAAGAAAGCAGUCUUGAAGACUUCCUACUUGGGAAAGGGAGCCCCUCACAACCAGCUUGAGCUCGUCCAAAAUGUCCUGGAACAACAAAAGAAAUGAAGAGUAUCUUAUCUAUGCCACAACAAAGAAUCAAAUGUGCAAUCUCAAAAUGGGGCCGCUCAGCCUCAAGAGGACUGCAUGGCGCUUCCCGUCAGCCAGCUGGAUAUUGCUGAAGAUCACAGAGUUUAACCUUCCAUCACUCCUCAAAUAACGGAGGGCAGCUAGUACAAAAUACAGAGAAUGACUACCCGAUAGUAACAAAAGGCAAAGCAUAAUCGGAGCUAUUGCUUGAUCUCCUGAGUGGCUGCUGAAUGGAAGAUCAGUAUGGAUACUUGUCACUGCUCUGGUAUGUUUCAUUAUGUCUACUUGGGCAAAUGGUUGUAUAUGCAAAUAUGUAGAGAAAAUAAAUUUGACAUAGAAUCACA